rnacentral:rRNA from 1 species
GGACGAACGCUGGCGGCGUGCCUAAUACAUGCAAGUCGAGCGGACAGAAGGGAGCUUGCUCCCGGAUGUUAGCGGCGGACGGGUGAGUAACACGUGGGUAACCUGCCUGUAAGACUGGGAUAACUCCGGGAAACCGGAGCUAAUACCGGAUAGUUCCUUGAACCGCAUGGUUCAAGGAUGAAAGACGGUUUCGGCUGUCACUUACAGAUGGACCCGCGGCGCAUUAGCUAGUUGGUGAGGUAACGGCUCACCAAGGCGACGAUGCGUAGCCGACCUGAGAGGGUGAUCGGCCACACUGGGACUGAGACACGGCCCAGACUCCUACGGGAGGCAGCAGUAGGGAAUCUUCCGCAAUGGACGAAAGUCUGACGGAGCAACGCCGCGUGAGUGAUGAAGGUUUUCGGAUCGUAAAGCUCUGUUGUUAGGGAAGAACAAGUGCAAGAGUAACUGCUUGCACCUUGACGGUACCUAACCAGAAAGCCACGGCUAACUACGUGCCAGCAGCCGCGGUAAUACGUAGGUGGCAAGCGUUGUCCGGAAUUAUUGGGCGUAAAGGGCUCGCAGGCGGUUUCUUAAGUCUGAUGUGAAAGCCCCCGGCUCAACCGGGGAGGGUCAUUGGAAACUGGGAAACUUGAGUGCAGAAGAGGAGAGUGGAAUUCCACGUGUAGCGGUGAAAUGCGUAGAGAUGUGGAGGAACACCAGUGGCGAAGGCGACUCUCUGGUCUGUAACUGACGCUGAGGAGCGAAAGCGUGGGGAGCGAACAGGAUUAGAUACCCUGGUAGUCCACGCCGUAAACGAUGAGUGCUAAGUGUUAGGGGGUUUCCGCCCCUUAGUGCUGCAGCUAACGCAUUAAGCACUCCGCCUGGGGAGUACGGUCGCAAGACUGAAACUCAAAGGAAUUGACGGGGGCCCGCACAAGCGGUGGAGCAUGUGGUUUAAUUCGAAGCAACGCGAAGAACCUUACCAGGUCUUGACAUCCUCUGACAACCCUAGAGAUAGGGCUUUCCCUUCGGGGACAGAGUGACAGGUGGUGCAUGGUUGUCGUCAGCUCGUGUCGUGAGAUGUUGGGUUAAGUCCCGCAACGAGCGCAACCCUUGAUCUUAGUUGCCAGCAUUCAGUUGGGCACUCUAAGGUGACUGCCGGUGACAAACCGGAGGAAGGUGGGGAUGACGUCAAAUCAUCAUGCCCCUUAUGACCUGGGCUACACACGUGCUACAAUGGACAGAACAAAGGGCUGCGAGACCGCAAGGUUUAGCCAAUCCCACAAAUCUGUUCUCAGUUCGGAUCGCAGUCUGCAACUCGACUGCGUGAAGCUGGAAUCGCUAGUAAUCGCGGAUCAGCAUGCCGCGGUGAAUAC